UCCCUGGUGGUCUAUUGGUUAGGACUCAGUGCUUUCACUGCUGUGGCCCAGGUUUGAUCCCUGGUCUGGGAA
rnacentral:tRNA from 1 species